UACAGCUGUUACUUAUCUUAGUUUCUCAGUGUAAUCAUACCAGAGUUCAGAAAGGACUGUGGCUGUGGAGGAAAAGCAGUUGAGUUAUCUUAGAGACUCCUUUGAUGAUCUCUGUGGAGUGCUGCUGCUAUCAGUCAAGAUGAGAAAGUGAACGAGAGUUUCUGAUGUUUAGAGCCUGCUGAUGGAAAGGUACCUUUUUUGUCUGCAUCUCUCAGCGUGGACCAAUAAAUUAAUGGAUGGUAAUGAUUGAAGCAUUGAAGAAACCAACCAUCAUCUUGCUUUCUUUGACUGGACAUUUAAUAGGCCCUGUGCAUGCAAUACAUCAAGGAUUAUGACAUGCUUUAUUGCUGACAUGUAUAGCAUUACAAUUGUGUAUCUUAAAGAACUGGAUGCUUACAAGUUGAUUUCUGCUCCCCCCCACCCUCCCCCUUCAGAUGGAUGAGCUGACUUGAACUUUUCUUCCAUCCCUCAGAGCAAGCCCAGACCUUUCUAAAACAUUGGUAAAUGAGGAGAUGGAUUGAGUGCAUCUAGUUUACUAACUUAUUUUCUCUUAUGAUUUUUCUCCAAGCCUUAUUAACAACUAACUACCACUUUUCAUGCAAACUUAGACUCUGCAUCCCAAAACUCUCACUGAUGUCUACCCUGUAGAAACUGAGAUUGCAAAACCUAAUCAAGUUUGUCCAUGCCCUGGUUGCUGCUACGUUAGAAUCUGGUAUGCUGCAACAUAAGUAACUCAGUUGGGGGGGGGGGGUACAGCACUGGCUGCACUAAAUGCUAAUUUACUGAAAUCAAACCCAAAAUAGGGGGCUGCCAGAGCUGUUGGGCCUGAUAGGAGACAUCUGCUAUACUUUUUUUUUCUGUUUAUUAUAUGUACUGCUGCAUACAUCAGAGGGACAAGAUGGCUGCUUGGCUAACCCACCUAAUGUUUUGUUUCCCUGUAAGUAUUGGCAGUUGUCAUGGCCAUCGUUAAAAUAUUCAUUAGCCAUGAGUUUUGGGAAGACUCCACAUUACUUCAGGGCUAAGUAUAUUUCUAAUUGGUGGGUUACCUACUUUCAUGAGCAAAGGAAAUCAAUGGGGGAAGCUACACGCUCUCCCUGGAGUGGCAUUUAGUGUUCCAUAUGCAAGUUUCUGUACAUAGCAGCAGAAAUGAACCUAUUUACAGUCCAGAUUUUUCCAGCUACUUUAGUGUUUUGCUUCUCCUGAACACAGCCCAUUGUUGUAUGCAAGUUCUUGUCUCACCAGUGGUCCAUAAGCACAGAGGUGGUCAGCAGCAUUAGGCUGAAAUGAAGCAGAACGCAGGCCAGGGUCUCACCUUAGAGACAAACUGGUUUGGAUGGGCAUGAGCUUUUAUAAGUAAUAUCUUCCUUCAUCAGGUGUUUUGCUUGCCUCCUGUGAACCGGUUCAUUUCUAAGGUGUUAACCUGCCCCAUCUUUAUAGAGUUUCAUGUAAUCGGGCACUGGGAACUAGACUGAACAUGUAUAUAUUUCUCAGAGUGAUUUUUGGUGUUUUUUCAGAUUAUUUUUCAGAGGAGUGAGCUAAUGUUGGAGUUUAGUGAGUCACCUUCCCUCUUGUUAUGAAAAAAGCUGAAAUGGUUAAGAGAAACUUCAGGUUACAGGAAUAUGAGAACUGUCUAUAGGAGAUGCAGCAUUUAAUUAGUACAGUGAUGGAUCACCUCACUAGCAACAAACUAUUGACUGCUGUGGGCACUAAGGCUGUAAAUUUGGGGAAGGGGGAAGCAUAGCAAAAGUCUGUUCUCUAAUAUGAGACUGAUUGGAAUGUCAGGAAGAGCUGAAGGCUUCUAGAACAGACACUUUUCUCAGGAGCUUGUUCCUGUAUUGUCAGCCUAUUGUUUUUUUUGUGCCCUUAGUGAGGGUAGAAUGACAUUUGUGCAGUUUUUUUUAUGGCAAUUGGACCAAACUACCACUAUAAUACUCCUGCUAUUUGUGAGACAAACUCAGGCACAUAAGAGACUGAGAAAUUAUAAUCAAUCUUUUAUAGUUAUAUUAUUAGCUUUAUCUGUCAAAGUUGGCAAUCCUUUACACUAAAGUGUGCCAGAUACCCAGGAUUAAUUCUUUGUUCCAACAGCAUUACUGUAGACCAAUAACUCUUUCUCUGGUCAGUCACCUUUCUGGCUAGGGACAGACAUUCAAAAAGCCUGAGCCUGAAUUGAUUCAAUCUUUGCAGGUUAGUCUAAGCUGCACAGAUUGAACUGAUUAACAAAUGGAGAGAGAUUCACUUUUGAAUCAGGAAAUGCAGCCACCUGCUUGCAGUACCUCAAGCCAGAAAUCAGGGGGUGCUAGAGCGCACCUGCUAGCCACUGCCAAAGGGGAGGGGAGGCAAGCCCUCUAAAAGGUUUUCACCCCUCCCUGCUGGAGCAGAGGGGGUAUGGCCAGGCACCAGCCCAGGGCUAGCCUGCUGGAGGAUGGGGGGGCUUAAAUCCACAGGGGUGACAGCCAGGCUAGGUACACUCAGUCAAAAAGUCUGCAGCUGAAUCGAUUCGGUCUUUUCAAGUUAAUCUAAGAUGCACACAUUAAAUUGAAAUGGAAUUGAACAGACGUUUAUCUUUGAGUCAGGAAAUGCUGCCACAUGCUUGCAGUGACACAGGCCAGAAGCCAAGGGGCACUAGAGCACUGCUCUCUGGCUGUGUGUUCACUACUUCUUUAUGCUGCCCUCGAGGUCUCUGGGCUUUGUAGUCUACAAUUGCUGCCAGUAGUAAGUUUGAGUGGGGGAAUGGGUGUUUAACCCUCCUCCCUAGCCACAGACCUCAGCUGGGGUUUGCAUGAGGGGGGGCAGUCCCCCUCCACCUCCAGAGACUGGGUCUGCAUCCCCAGCUAGGUUCCCCCCUGCCGCAGCCAGCCUUCCCUGCUCCGGCUAGGGAGCAGAGGGGUGUGGCCAGCCCUGCUCUCUGGACAGCCCAGCCUAGGGCUGCAAAACAUGCUGGGAUGCUGGGGGACUCUGAUUUUUUCCUGAACCAGGAAGGGGUCUGGGACAGAAGUCUUAUAAACCAGUUUGACCCAAAUCAGUUAGUUCUGAUACUACGUCCAACCAGGUUCAUCUUAAACCAGUUUCAGCCAUUUUGAAACCAGUUUAUGUGCAUUGAACAUCUAUUCUGUUACAGUUUUUUAAAUCGGUUUCUGAUCACUUAGACUGGCUUAUGUGUCAUUUCUGUCUCUAGCCAAGCAUAUUUCUUCUCCUCGGUGUCUUCCUGACACCCCAUUUUGCAUCUUGCCUGUGAUUCAAUUUUAUACUGUCUGCAGCCAAAAUUAUUCUUAUUCCAAGCUGUUGGUUUGGUUCCCCCCCCCCUCCCCCCCCCCCAGUUAAAAACCAUCCCUCUGUCAUUCACUGGCAUGCCUUUUCCCAAAUAGCUCUAAAACAUUUUUAAUACCUUAGUUUUAAUCCUACAUAUUUCCUUUUUGAGGAUCAGCUUUUUCACCAUUUUUCUUUCCUUCUGGCCAGAUUAUUUCACUUACAACUGUGAGCUCAGUAAAGAUUUAAACUAUUUGAGACUUGGAUCUAAACUUGGCUAUUGGAUUGUUUGCUUGGAAGGCAAUUUCUGUAAGCUCUGAGACGGAGCUAAGGGAACAUUUGGGUGUGGGGUGGGAGAAAGUGCCAUUUAAAAUUGCUUUAUGCUCUCCCAGUUUUUCAAACACUUGCUUCCUUUUGGCUGAAAAUAGGCAUUUAUUCUUUAAUUUUGAAUUGGGGGGUGGGGAGUAAAUAAUCCAUUUCAUUUAUACAAGUAGGGAAUUGGUUUAAGUGUAGAAGAGAUGAUUUAAGGAAAGAGAACUUUCUAGUACUAAUUACUAAUUGCUAUCUGUCUUAUGAUCAGGUAAUUCUUCUGGCCUUAAGGAAACCUCUGCUUAAAUUUAUAGAAGCUUCCAUAAGCUCUCUUCUUCAUUCCAGUAACUUAUUAGGAAAUAUUUUAAUGCCUUGUUCUGUCUUUUAGGCCCCAUGCAGAAAAGUAAUCAAUAUUGUAUACUGCAAGUCCCAUUGAAUUCAAUAGGGUCAAGCACAUGCUUCAGUAUUUCCCUGAAUUAGUGCUUUGCAUGUGAACUACUAUUAACUAUGUAUGUAUGUGUGUGUGUAUUUGUAUAAGUAUGUAUAAAACAAUAACAGCAGCAUAUUCAUAUUGCCUAGAGACCCUAGCUAAAUCCUGGGGUCCUGACUCUGGUGUUUUCAGGAAAUGCUACUUGAUAAGCAGAAAUGCAUAUUUACUAGGCCAGUGUGGGGAAAAAUAGAAAAUUUACUUUUGUGGCUGCAUACACAUUCUGUAUUUCUGCUUCCUUUUAACAUACGAUACUCAUAUUUAAAGUUCUGAUUUUGCAAGGUACCUAAUUUAAACAACUAUCUAACUGAUAUCAAUGGUGUAACUUAAAUGCAUUUUAACAUUUGGUCUGUCUGUUUGGCUGUCAAAAUGAAAGGAGUAGAAUAUGAAAAUGUAAGCUGUAUUUCUAGAAUGUCCACCAUAGAUCACUUGGUCUGUUUUCAGAUCCUUGGCCAACAAUUUCUGUGGUUUUAAAAUAUUACUUUAAUAUCUCUCUUACUAAACCAAUUAGGGUAGAUUGGAGACUAUAAUCUGUGACUGGACUGUCUCCACAGACUUAACUUAUAAAUAGUGCCUUUGUCUUGAUUAAAUAACUAUGUAAAAUAUUAUAUUCCUAAUUCAUUACCCAAUUCAAAAUAAUCAGAUGGGAAGCAUCUUUAAAUACAUAGAAACCAUUCUAUCAUCUGUCCAGAUGGGAUUAACUUUGUUUCCUAUUUAAGAAAAUACAAAUUCAGAUUAAGUAUGUUACUUCUUCUUUCUUAUUUCUUUUAACAUGUUUUAUUUAAUGUCUUCAAAUGUUUUAGUUUUUACCCAGUUUCAUGGGUCAUGUCCAAAAAUCAUCUGGCAUAAGAUGAUCCUCGGAAUAAGUAGUCAUACUCUAAUUCAUAUAUGCUCCCAGGGGGAACUACUUCUGGCAGACUUGUGUUUUGUUAUUGUUGGUUUGUCAGACUACAGCAAAUGUGUUUUUAGGGCUAAUAGACCAAUCUCUGCAUAAAUUCAUAGUUCCCCAGUUUUUAAAUACUUUUAUUUCUGUAAAACUUGCCAUUUAGUAAGCGGGGGGGGGGGGGGCAGUCAUCUUUUGUAAAGUAUAGCCAGGGAUGGCUCGAUCCUACAAGGGGCGAAGUUGUAUGCCAUUCUUGCACCAUCUUUAACUUCUUGUAAUUCACCUCAAAGAAAGUAAAUGGAGUCUUCAGAACAGUAUCAUUGAAUCCUUUUGCUCAUUUAUAAAAACAAGUAUCAGCUGUUCAGAAAUUCAUUGUUUAGAUGUGGAAUUUGCAGCUAAUAGAUAUGAACAGCUUUGUGAUUCAUUAGCAUGGGGAAGAUUUGUACUCACUCAGAAGCAUUUAUAAGGAGGGUUGUCUUGGAACCUUUUGUAUGACUCUUCAUCUUCAGUUCAGUUACGCUGUUAGAUCAAUGUUAACACUUUUGAGACUCCUCUGGGAUAAUAUGAGUUGUCCCACGGUAGAUAAUGCUUAUGCAUUCUUGUUCUGGGAAAGUAAGUCAUUUUCAGCCUUGUGGGUAAUUUGGUUUUUCCCUCCCCUUCCCUCUCUUUGAACUCUUAACUUUUUGUGGAAUGCAGCAGAAUUAAUGUGUGGCCAGUCUUUCACUGAAAUGAUAUCGCUGUUAUGUAUAUAGUAUUUGAUAUCUUAGCGGUAACCUCAGCCAAAAUAACUAGCUAGAAUAAUGAAACUUUUUAAAUUUUAAAACUUUUUUUUUUCCUAAUGAGAUAAAAGGUCUUAUGCUUCAGGGAUUUAACAUCCUUAUUUAAAUGAUGAAAAGGUUAGCUCAUAGCUGUUUGUUUUAGGAAUUUUUGCACUUUCUUUUGAAGAAUCUGGUGCUGGUGUUUAUCAGACAAGAUAAUGCACUGCACCACACCAUACCUCUGUUGUGGGACAACAAUUUCUCUGUACUUCUAACAGGCUUUUUGACGGUUCCAAAUCCCUUCCUGGUUCAAGUUUAAAUCACAGACCUCCAGCAUCCCAGCAUGUUUUGCAGCCCUGAACUGGGCUGUGCUGUCUGCUCCAGAGAGCAGGGCUGGCCUUGCCCCUCUGUUCCCUAGCUGGAGCAGUGAGACCUGACUGAGGAGGAGGGGAAGGCAAGCCCAGCUGGGGAUGCAGGACCAGAGAGGGGAUUAAACACUCCUUCCCUGCUCAGACUUAUUGCUGACUGCAACCAUGGGCUACAAAUCCCAGAGGCGCCUGGAAGCAGGAAGUGGCAGUGAUAAGCAAUCCUGCAGAGUCCUGCUACUGUGAUUUUUUUUUUAGACUGAAAAUCUCGGAUCUUGCGGGGGGGGGGGGGGCAGCAGGAAGAUGAAGCAAGCACACAGCCCAUGCUGCUUGCGUGUCAGAGAGCUGUGCUCUAGCAUGCCCUGCCUGCAGUGGCUCAGGCCAGAAGCCAUGUGGCUGCAUUUCCUAAAUCAAAUCUAACUGUUUGUUCACUUCUGUUUCAAUUUAAUCUCUGCAGCUGAGACUAACCUGCAAAGACUGAAUCAAUUCAGCCUCAGGGUUUUGACUGUCUAUACUUAGCACUUUUUCUGUAAAACAGGAUACUCAUGUUUUCAUAUCAGCUAUUGAGGAGGGCUACGCAAGACCUACAUAUUAGUGCUUAGGAAGAGAGAUCAUAAAAUAUGUCUUGGCUGCCUUUAGACAGGGCACAUGUGGAAGUGAGACUAGGAGGAAAAGUGGGGGUUGCAACAAGAUGGUUGUAUGGCCACUCAGAUUCAUUGCAGGUAGAUCACAACGGUUCCAUUUGUAAGCUGUGGGGGGAGAAAAUAAAGGAGAGGCUUUUUGGGCACUUGAAAAACUUUAAGAAAACUAGUUUGAGAGAGACAUCUGAUAUGGCAGGGAGAUGAAGUACUGAGGCAGCAUCCUACAUAAAAGCCUGCAAAAAGUGUGGCAGACUUACCAAUACAGUCUGGCAGGCCUGGGCUUGGAAAAUCUUCGUUGUGAUUGGUGGAGCAUGUCCAACAACCGGCUAAAGCUGGGAAGGGACUUGCUCUGCCUUUGCUAGGGAUGGAGAGCAGAGAGGAGAACCACAGACCUGGUUGUAGCCUGCUUUUUGCAGGUCCAACAACACUCCAGCGUGGAGUCUCUGGAGUGAACAAAAGGAGCUGCGUGCUCAGUACAUGGCAGACGCGUCACACGAUGGAGAGAAGGAUGGGCAAAGAAGAGCUGGUGUGAGCUGGCCAGCGGGCGGAAGAGCCCGAAGAUGCCUUUUUGCAAGCGGGAGCAGUGAGCGGCUACAUCCCUGUCUCCACCACAGGGAAUGCGGUGUCGGUGCACAGAGCAGAGACCCUGGGAGCCAGUCAAGGCAGUUCACAUGUGCAGGCCCUGGUGUGAGGCCAGGGACCCAGUGCAUGGGUUGGUGCACAGAGCCUAGUCCCUGGGAGCUGCACAAGGCAUCUUGGGUCUGCAACCCCUGGCAGGAAGCUGGGAACCCAGAGCUGGCAGUGUGGCAUGGUCCGGUGGGAGCUGCUCAAUGUGGCUCAGGUCCACCCUUUCCUGGCAUAUGGCCAGGACUCCCAUGCAUAACUGGUCCCAGGCGGGGACCCAGGCCUUGGAGCUGCAGAAGGUGGCCUGAGCCUUCAACCGUGAGCGGAAGGCAGGCCCCUCGGUGCAUGGGGCCACCUAUGGGCAUUGGCCCAAGGAGAGCCAAUGGCUUGGGAGGCCCCACAUGUGAGGAGCACCUCCAGUCAAGGGGACGAGGACCAUGCAUUCAUGCCCAUGGAGUUGUGAGUUGUUGGAGAAGGGAUUCCCAGAGGGGAGGGGAGCUACCCCAGCAGUGAAGUAGUUGGUCCUCAGGGAAGCCUGAGCUGAAAGGAGCUCCCAGGAUCUGGAAUUGCCUUUUAGGAAGGCAUCCCUGGGGUUUGCCACAGGCCUGGGGAGCACAAAGGGUUUCUCCUCCCCCAUGGUCAGUCUGGGCUGUGGGUUAAUUAUAGAAUUGAGGUUGACCUGUUGUUAUUGAAGUGCCUUAUAUUUUGUGAGAGAUUGCCUUACAUGCUGUGAACAUCUUAUCUAUGUAUAUCGAUAGUUCAGUAGUGUUAAGAAUACACUUGCAAAAGGACUCUACUGGGACCCAUUCCCUGAUGGUUAUAUAUACUUACUUAUGUAUAUUUGUGUUUUAUCUGUUGUUUAAUUGUAUUUAUAAGUGCUCACCUGUACUUACCUGUUGUUUUGUCUAUUCUAAAAUCAACCGAUUAUCCACACAUUGCUUGGGGCUACCUGAAGGGGUGUAAUCUUUCAGCCGUUAUCUGUAGGACCAUAGUAUUAUAUGAUGAUUGUAUAUUUGUGUGUGUAUGGAUAUAUAUGUUUAUCAAUAUCAAUUCCCUUUAACUUUUUGUAUAUAUGAAUAAAUCUGUAUAUAGUUAA